rnacentral:tRNA from 1 species
GGGCGCGUAGAUCAGCUCGGAAGAUCGCCUCCUUGGCAUGGAGGAGGCCCCGUGUUCAAAUCACGGCGCGUCCA